ACAGGUGCUGCAUGGCUGUCGUCAGCUCGUGUCGUGAGAUGUCGGUAAGUCCGCUAACGAGACCGCAACCCUCACUGUGUGUUAUAUGUGUCACACGGGACUGCCGGUUUUAAGCCGGAGGAAGGCGGGAUGACGUCAAGUCAGCAUGGCCUUUAUAUCCUGGGCUACACACACGCUACAAUGGCCAACACAAUAGGUUGCUAAGCCGCGAGGUGGCGCCAAUCCAUAAAGUUGGUCUCAGUUCAGAUUGUAGGCUGCAACCCGCCUGCAUGAAGAUGGAGUUGCUAGUAACCGCAGGUCAGCUAUACUGCGGUGAAUACGUUCCCGGGGCUU
rnacentral:rRNA from 1 species